CUUUACUGACAUGGUACACGUUCUUUGCACACCAAAAAUAAAGUGAGCAGUAAUGAAAAUACACCAAUAAUGGAGUCAAUGGAGGGAGUUAUGCAGAAGCUGGGACUUAGAGUUACUUAAAGGCCCUAUGCAGGCUCUCCUUUUGUUGGAGGAGAAAUUUCAAGUGCAAUGUGGUUCUUUAUUUUCUUUCUCUAAAGCACACAGGCUAUGGUGGAAUGUAGGGCUUUGAGCAUGUUUGGAAAGUACAAUCACACUGAAUUAAAUCCUAGGGCUGGAACCCUAUUACUCUUCUACAAAAUUACAGACCAGGCUGGAUGAAUACUCCCAGGAGACAAUGUGGACAUCUCAAGACAGGCACUGGACAAUGGCUGAAGACUUGUCUGAAGACUGGAAAUAUUUUGAAAAUUCAGAGAGAAAAAAAAGGCCCCUCUGACUACACCGUACUCUAAGGACAGUUUAUGCAGCUGCUGAGCUUUUAAAAGCCCUGGGGUGACAGCAAGCUUUUGUGGACAUACUGGAUUGGUCCUUGUGUACUUUAACUCCUGAGUCACCUCCAUUCUCAGUGCUUCCUACACAAGAAGUCACAUGACCACAGAGUGUCAUUUGUCAAAGAACCAAGAACUUGUUCAAAACUCUACAGAGCAUC
ensembl:lncRNA